GGUUUCAUAGUGUAGCGGUUAUCACGUCUGCUUUACACGCAGAAGGUCCUGGGUUCAAACCCCAGUGAAACCA